rnacentral:rRNA from 1 species
AUUGAACGCUGGCGGCGUGCCUAACACAUGCAAGUCGAGCGGUAACAGGUGUAGCAAUACAUGCUGACGAGCGGCGAGCGGGUGAGUAAUGCUUCGGAAUCUACCUUAUGGUGGGGAAUAACUAGCCGAAAGGUUAGCUAAUACCGCAUACGUCCAACGGGAGAAAGCAGGGGAUCGCAAGACCUUGCGCCAAAAGAUGAGCCGAAGUCGGAUUAGCUAGUUGGUAGGGUAACGGCCUACCAAGGCGACGAUCCGUAGCUGGUCUGAGAGGACGACCAGCCACACUGGGACUGAGGCACGGCCCAGACUCCUACGGGAGGCAGCAGUGGGGAAUAUUGGACAAUGGGGGAAACCCUGAUCCAGCGACGCCGCGUGUGUGAAGAAGGCCUGCGGGUUGUAAAGCACUUUUAGUGGGGAUGAAAUGUGCAGGGUUAAUACCUCUGCAUUUUGACCUAACCCACAGAAAAAGCACCGGCUAACUCUGUGCCAGCCGCCGCCGUAA